GACGAACGCUGGCGGCGUGCUUAACACAUGCAAGUCGAACGGAAAGGCCCUGCUUUUGUGGGGUGCUCGAGUGGCGAACGGGUGAGUAACACGUGAGUAACCUGCCCUUGACUUUGGGAUAACUUCAGGAAACUGGGGCUAAUACCGGAUAGGAGCUCCUGCUGCAUGGUGGGGGUUGGAAAGUUUCGGCGGUUGGGGAUGGACUCGCGGCUUAUCAGCUUGUUGGUGGGGUAGUGGCUUACCAAGGCUUUGACGGGUAGCCGGCCUGAGAGGGUGACCGGCCACAUUGGGACUGAGAUACGGCCCAGACUCCUACGGGAGGCAGCAGUGGGGAAUAUUGCACAAUGGGCGGAAGCCUGAUGCAGCAACGCCGCGUGCGGGAUGACGGCCUUCGGGUUGUAAACCGCUUUCGCCUGUGACGAAGCGUGAGUGACGGUAAUGGGUAAAGAAGCACCGGCUAACUACGUGCCAGCAGCCGCGGUGAUACGUAGGGUGCGAGCGUUGUCCGGAUUUAUUGGGCGUAAAGGGCUCGUAGGUGGUUGAUCGCGUCGGAAGUGUAAUCUUGGGGCUUAACCCUGAGCGUGCUUUCGAUACGGGUUGACUUGAGGAAGGUAGGGGAGAAUGGAAUUCCUGGUGGAGCGGUGGAAUGCGCAGAUAUCAGGAGGAACACCAGUGGCGAAGGCGGUUCUCUGGGCCUUUCCUGACGCUGAGGAGCGAAAGCGUGGGGAGCGAACAGGCUUAGAUACCCUGGUAGUCCACGCUGUAAACGGUGGGUACUAGGUGUGGGGUCCAUUCCACGGGUUCCGUGCCGUAGCUAACGCUUUAAGUACCCCGCCUGGGGAGUACGGCCGCAAGGCUAAAACUCAAAGGAAUUGACGGGGCCCCGCACAAGCGGCGGAGCAUGCGGAUUAAUUCGAUGCAACGCGUAGAACCUUACCUGGGUUUGACAUGGAUCGGGAGCGCUCAGAGAUGGGUGUGCCUCUUUUGGGGUCGGUUCACAGGUGGUGCAUGGCUGUCGUCAGCUCGUGUCGUGAGAUGUUGGGUUAAGUCCCGCAACGAGCGCAACCCUUGUUCACUGUUGCCAGCACGUUAUGGUGGGGACUCAGUGGAGACCGCCGGGGUCAACUCGGAGGAAGGUGGGGAUGACAUCAAGUCAUCAUGCCCCUUAUGUCCAGGGCUUCACGCAUGCUACAAUGGCUGGUACAGAGAGUGGCGAGCCUGUGAGGGUGAGCGAAUCUCGGAAAGCCGGUCUCAGUUCGGAUUGGGGUCUGCAACUCGACCUCAUGAAGUCGGAGUCGCUAGUAAUCGCAGAUCAGCAACGCUGCGGUGAAUACGUUCCCGGG
rnacentral:rRNA from 1 species